GAUGAAGAACGCAGCAAAAUGCGAUAAGUAAUGUGAAUUGCAGAAUUCAGUGAAACAUCGAAUCUUUGAACGCACAUUGCGCCCGCCAGUAUUCUGGCGGGCAUGCCUGUUCGAGCGUCAUUUCAACCCUCAAGCACAGCUUGGUGUUGGGACUCGCGUUAAUUCGCGUUCCUCAAAUUGAUUGGCGGUCACGUCGAGCUUCCAUAGCGUAGUAGUAAAACCCUCGUUACUGGUAAUCGUCGCGGCCACGCCGUUAAACCCCAACUUCUGAAUGUUGACCUCGGAUCAGGUAGGAAUACCCGCUGAACUUAAGCAUAUCAAUAAGCGGAGGA
rnacentral:misc_RNA from 1 species